UCACCACCAAGACAGCUGUGAAAGGAGGAGGGAGGAACACGUGUCAUGCUCCAUGUGAAUGCAUCACCGCUACUGUACAAACUGUGCGGUGCUGGAGUGUGUGUGUGUGUGUGUGUGUGUGUGUGUGUGUGUGUGUGUGUGUGUGUGUGUGUGUGUGUGUGUGUGUGUGUCUAAGCACACGUGAACGUUUACACACAGGAUCGCACCGUACAUGUUCUCCAGUCCCCAGUUAUCAGAGCCGCCGUAAACACACCCUGAAUCCCCUGGUGAAACGAGUGGAGGCCAUACAUCACCAGAAAAUGACCUGGAAAAGAACGACAGAAUGGGUCCAGAGGUGCGGGCGUCUCGCAUCCGCUGAAGCCGGAUGAAGCUGUGCUCUGAGCUCUAAUUGCAGUUUAAAGUAAAUCAUUUCUCCGUAAACCCGCCGUAGCUCCGCGCUGACGCCGGCCUCCUCGCCUCCAUCCAGAUUCAAACAGCUUCAGUCUGUCUCUGCGCCUCCACGUGUCCUUUCUCCGCGAUGACCUCCAGUCACAUUGGCGGCGCAGAGACUCUGCUUGUCCUUCCCGCCUGAUUGGGUCUAAGAGGAUUGUGGGCUGCCACUGUUUUUAUUCGCAUGCUAAUACGUUUCGGAGAAGCAGGUGGAUGAUUUAAGCUCUAAGCUAAGAAACCGAGGCGUGGAGGUCAUGUGUCAUCGCUCCUCUUCCUUCUUCAGGUGUCAGACUUGUACAGGAAGUCGGAGGAUUUAAGUCCCGUCGUAGUGAGACUCCGUUAUCGUGGAAGCACAGCUGGUUCCGCUGUGAAGUGGUGUCAUUCCCCCGACAGCCUGGAUGGUUCUGAAGUAGCUAUUUGUCACACGCUGAUGCUUUAUUAGAACAUAAAGACGGCGGAGUUCAGAAAGAGCUGUUGUGUAAAAUCAGGACUAAUCCUGGGUCAGUUUAAUAGUUAACUAGUUCUGAGCUUUUGUUGAUGCAUUCCCAGCCCCAUGGAAUCCAGAGGAGACCGGUCAAUGCUGGGAUAGCUCAGCAUCCGGUAACCAUGACAACGGUAGGAGUCAGACAGAGGGUCCACGAUCACCUGGAUGCAGAUGAACGGGAUGGAGGUGCAGGCUAAGUUUCCAGCUGUUGCCUCGUCAGCCUUCAGACCAAACUGCUUGUUCAGGUGCUGCCAGCAGCCUCUUAAGGCGCCGCUUUCUCCUCUAAGUGAAUGGGCCGCCAUUAUCAGUGUGUUCGUCUCAGGCAGGUCAUUUAGAACCAGCACAAGGUUAAUUAAUGAAUCAAGUUUAAUGGAGGACCUUGAAGUCCACCAUGAAGAAAUAUGUGUUUUAUAAAGGCCUUAAUGAAUGUGGCUUCACUGUCUGCCAGGAGUGUAUUGAUCAGGGACCUCAUCCUCUCUAAAGGCCUUAGUAAGUCACUUUUUUAGCUGUGGGAAAUUUAUUCGCCCCCUGUUUUAUACCUAAGUGGUUAAAAUAUAAUGGCUUUGUAUAGUUUGAAUGUGUAUUUAUUUAGAUAGUUGCCUUUAGUCCAACUCUGGGCUCUGAGUUAAGUGGAGUCAUUUAAAAGUCUUAAUCAAGUCAACAGCUUCACCCAAUCCUUCGAUGCCUUAUUAGACUUGUAUCAAGCUAAAAGUGGCUCAUUUAAUCAGAUGACCUUCUUGGAGCCUUUACAUUAUUACAAUUACAGUAUUUCUCUGCUUGGACGCUGAUCAGGCAGAACAUCAUCGGUGGAGCGAGUCUCAUCUAACUGUGGAGUCCAGACGGGUCAGAACAUCUCCAACCUGCAGCUCCGGUGGGAUGUUUCUGCUCCGAAGGGCUCAGAAUCUAUCAGGGACCAGUGGUGCCGGGUCCAAACCCGCUCUUGUCGCUCAGUAGUAGGUGACGUGAAGCAGGUCCAGGUGAUGCCUCAUACAGCAUGUAUGUGUAAUGUGUGUGUGGUUUGGUCCCAGAGCACAGCUGGACUCGAACCGACACGCUUCUCAUGACGCUGCCAAAGAGCAGCUUUCAGAUACACGCGUGCGAUGAUCCAUAACCAGGUGACUGAGAGCAUGAAGAAGACGUGGGCGCCUCUGGACGUGCCAUCGCCAUUUAUCAUCUGCAGCCAAUAUGUCACUGAGGUCAGUUACAAAUAACAAGAGAUUCAUGUUGAUGACAGCGCAGUGAAGGUUUGUGGAGCCACCUGAAUCAGCAGAUCCGUUGUUCACGCCUGUUUGGGCUCUGAUGGGCUCAAACCACCAGUGUACACACACAAAGGUCAAAGGUCACUGUCAUUAAAACUACAGACUAUGAGGCAGCUGCUGUAAAAGAAAGAGCAGCUUCCUGACGUGGCUCCACAUACAUUUUCACCAGCGAUGCUGAGUAAUACUUUCAAUAAAAAUCAAGCGCUAUGAUCCGUUGUUUUUAGAAGCCGCGUGACUGAUAGCGUUGUUGCGGCGUCAAUCUUCUUUAAGUUAAACAAAUUGCCUCUCACUUAUUUAGCGAAUGCAUCACGGGUUGAUGCGUUUUUUUGCACAUUUGGUGCGCAGCUAAUUAAGCUCUGAUGGUAAAGAGACACACAUCAUCUUUGUUUAACGCUCCGGCGAACACGCUCGCCCGCUUCACAAACACAGGAGAGCAUCCUGGCGUGAAAUGAAAAGGUGUCCCUGCUGGUAAACUCCUGGUUCCAUUCCUCAUCAGCAUGCGAGCGGUAAUUAAAAGCGGAGGCACUACCUGCACGCGGCCGCGGAAGGCAGCGGCGUUUAGGCGUCGGCUUUUAAUUAGAGUCCCAGGUGCGACGGCAGCAGAAACACCGCUUUUAAUGCGGUUUACAUAUUUUCUUUCAUAUUUAAUGCAGCUAUUAGUUGUUUGCAUCAAUUCGAUGUUUUCCUUUCAGCAGCUGCACGUGUUCCUGCCAACGCUAAAUCAAACAUAUAUUAACGUGAGGCAUUGUUCUCCUGCACUGUGGCCUCAUUACGACGGCUGCCUUGUUGUGAUGCUGCAACCGGAGGUCAGUGGAUCCGUCCCUCGGCCCAGUUAACAGCGGUCCGGUCCCGUCCAAGGCCCGGCCGACUGGGAAGCUGUCGGACAGGCAUACGUGUAAAUCAUCUGACUUUGGAUCAGAUGAGCUGUGGCUCAUGUAACAAAUGCGCUGGAUAAUGAAGGGCUGAGAAUGAAUCUGUUCCACUUUGAUUGGUUUAAUUGUGGGGGGUGAAGACGAGCGGCUAAUCUGUGACGCUGCCCUGUUCUUUUUCUCAACGUUAAAGGUUUUAUCGUUAGUAUCAUAGAGUCACUGGCCUCUACGACCCAAUACACCGCGACGUGGUUCCGGUUUCUGUGUUUCCACCCCUCCCCCACCACCAGCAGCAGCCUCUGCAGGACGGGUUGAGCCGCCAGGACGCCGGCUGAUUGAACAGCCUUAUGUAUUUUCUGCAUUGUUUACCGGUGUCAAACAAAUCUGCUCAUGCUAAUCAGACGCCGUCCGUCAGUCACGCUGCGACCGAGGCAAAGAGCAACAGGGUCUGUCUGCGAUCCCCACGCACGCAAACACACACACACGUGUGCACACGUGCGCGUGCACGCAUGUGCAGUCGGCUGGAAAAUUGUUUGCCGGUGAUGUGAGAUGUGUGAGGAGAGGGAGGAGAAGCGGGGCCUGUUUGCUCAGACGCUGACAAAUCCCUGACACUUAGUCUCUUAUCUCACCCUCCUCUGCCUUCACGUGUCGUCGUGUAAUAUCUUAUACGGACGGAUUAUGGAAGUGUUGAUUUGACAUCACUAAGUUUAAUGGUGUAAAAUCAAGGAGAAACUUCUCUGAUGAGGAUUAUACGGCAUGUACUGCGUUUAGCGAAGACGGGUCAGCGUGCUUUACUUCAUUAUUUAAAACCAAAGUUCUCAGAUGUUGUUUUUUGACUAAAGUAAAACCUUCACAUUUUGUUGAGAGCAAGAGAAUCAGUUUGACCGCAUGUUUCAGUUUUCCAUCCCGGGACACUUUACAACACUGUGAAAAGCUCGGUUCAGGUUAAAAGGAUAAAGUUGGUGAAGGUGGAGGUCAAAGGCCACAGAAACACCUGCAGGGGGUCUCGUACCCUGGACCGUCUCCUCUGCUCCGUCGCAAACAUCUGACUCAACCACAUCCUCUCGUCUCUAAUCCUGUCCGUCGUCGUCAGUCCUGAUAAAAAACAGCUUCAGUCGUGGACUCCAUCACCUCCAGCUGUGCCUCGACCUCCAGUCCCCACUAUGCUGCACCUUAGAACUGGUCUCACUGCCGUCCAGUCUCACUCUUGCAGUAAUUGGAAAAUGAGUUAGGAGACAUCAGUUUAACUUAAUAAAUCAGUGAAGGUGGUCAAUUUUUUCCAGAGGUUUCGUUGCAGGAUUCAAGUUCAGCCUGAUGCUGAUCCGCGUGUGGCGGCUGCACGUCCGUCCUGUAGCUGCAGCAGUAUGGAUUUUAAAUUCAUGGUUCUUUUUCAUGGUAAAAUUAAAUUAAUUAAAUUAAAAUCAAAUUCAUGGUAAGUUCAGAGGUUUCCUGCUGGAGUUUGUGCUGCAGAAAAGCACCAAGCAAAAUGGUGAUGUUGUGAUUUUUAAUUAAGGCCGUUGGUGAUGUCUUUGGCUCCAUUAUACCGGGGAAGCGCGGCUGCGUUUGCGAUGGAAGAAAGAAGCAGCUCCCUCAAACUGCUGGCGUCUCAUUAGAGAAACUCCCGGGGCCUCAUCAAAGAUCUUCCUCUCACCCUGCUUUGUGCCACUUCCCUCCCUCCCCUGCUCCAUAAUGCACCGUUUUCCCAGUGCACCGCUCCCCGCAGCUCCAGGACAUGCUUAACAAACACCAGCAAAACACUCCUGAUGCUAACUUUUCAUCGCUUUGCUCCACCACAGAAAGAAAAGCUCUGCAGCUCUCUUGAACUGCAGAGCCUCCCUGUCGACAGCCGAGGUUUCCGGUGAUGGAUGUUUGAUCUGCACAGCGUGAAACAACAUCCAGGCUUCCCCGUGCUCAUGUUCUUCUAGGGAAAUGUUCUAAGGGGAGAAAAUGCUAAAACAAAGCUCCCAGUCUGGGUUAUGCUGGUGGCACCGGCGUGGUUUUACCACAGCGAUGCGUCACAAAAGGUGCCAAAGCAAAUGAUGAUGAAUAGUCAGUUGAUGAAAUGAUGAGGUUGCUGCUCUUUCAUUAGUCAGUGCGCAGAUUCCUUGUUUUCCUUGUUUUAUCGGCCGCUCGCUGCAGCUCAGCCAUUCACGGCCACGCGCCUCCUGCAACUUCCCAGAGUUCACAGUCACAGUCAGAUCUGUCUCUUUGAAGCGAAGCUGCAGGAGUAAUCAACAUUUAUUUCAUUUUAUCUAUUUCGUUCGCAGCCUGUGUUUUCUUCCCACUCGCGCACACAAACAUAAACUCUUUCAUUAAGCAGCCACACAAGCAGCGGGGGGUGAACUGGCCCCGGCUGGCGGCUCAUGAAUCAUCAGAUGACAGAAGCAGAAAGCCUGUUUUCUUGGAAAGUCCUUUAAGAAAUAAUAAAGAUCGUGAGACAGGUAGCAACGCGACGCGAAGGAGGCUGGAGCGUUUUGAUUUGAUUUCUUUUUCCCAGCAGACUGCGUCAGACUGAAUGCAAGUGACAGGGAACGUUAACAUAUUGUGUUUUUUUAAUAUAAAGGUAAAAUCUGAUCCAAUUUAAAUAGUAAGUGCUGAGUAUUAACUGUGCAUUUAGUGAUGGUUCUCCCCACAGUGCUACGUUCUCCCACCAGAGCAACGCUCCCCAUAAAUCCAGCCACGUGACUAAGAACAGUUAUUUUUAAGUUAUGGAUGUUUUUUUUUUAUUUUCUUGUGUCCAAAACACAUUCAUGAACUCGAUCCGACGUCUUUGGUGGCGGAUCGUGACACCGACGUCCACUCUCACCCAGCUGCCGGCUGUAAACGGGACAGAACCAUUUGAGUCCAAACCAAACCAUUAUUUAUUUGUCAGCCUCUGCAGCUGACAAAGUGCCUGUGUAGCUCCGCUCCCCUCAUUUUUUACAUCACAGGGACAAACUCGGUGCGCUUUCGUGGGUGGUUCAGGUAUUAGUAUUUGUAUUAUUCAUGACCUCAGAGAGGAACAUUUUUCCAGUGAACACAGCUGAUGGAGUAACAGGACGAGGAAACCAGGCCUCGUUUUUCAUCCCACAGGCCCAAGGAGGAGAACGCGCUUCCAGGAUACUGGUUUGUGCUGGUUAGUGUGUGUCAGCGUAAUGGAGUCUGUGCCGCCACAGGCAGGUCCUGGAACAGACGCCCACCGGUGGCGCCCAGCAUCACGCGAGAUGGACAGUUUACAGGAGGCUGCUCAUGAAUGUUGACAGCGUGAGGCUGAAGAUGAAUAAAGACAUAUGAAAGGCACGAUGGAAGAAGUCUGGUGUUACUGUAGGUCCACCACCGAAGAAGAACUUCAGGGUUAACCAGUGGGUUUCCUUCUAGCAUUAACUGAUCUGUUUUCUUCCUGUUGUUGAUGAUGAUCCUGCCAUAGAAAAACAGUGGAGCUGCAGAGGAACAUAAGGCCCCACAUACAUACUGUGGACAUCUGCUGUGGCGUUAAAGUCAUCUCAGACUCUAGAUUGAGGCAGGAACCUGCAGACGCUGCCUCGUGUCCUGGGACUCGUCUAAUUAUCUCCCACUCUGUAUUUUGGCUAUGGGGUGAAAGAGAACAGGGGAAGUGAUUUGCAAAAGGAGAAGUUGUGUCCAAACAGAUGUCAGGCAGCACACUAAGCCAUCCUUUAUCCAUGCCCGGCCUUCUCCCGCUUUAUAUUCCUCUCUACAUUCACAGGAAAUUGCUCUGAGACUUACAGAGCUCCUCCAGCAGGACUCUCACCUGGGAACUGGCCCUGGUUUACGAUCUAUGCCUCAUGCACUUCUAACUUUAAGUGCGUUGCCAUCAGCUCAGCCAAUUAAGCGUCUUGUUCCCCCCGCAGUCCUGCCUUCCACCUCUAAUAGUAGUUAUUGGAAAUGAAAAUAAGGUGGAAGGUUUUCCCCGGGCGUCAGAAGGAAGCGGCGCCUUCAGGUCCGUGCCCGCGUGAAGCGUCUGGAGCCGUAAAAGUGAAACAUAAUGUAACCCCACAUAAAAGUGCCUGUUUUCAUGAUAUGAGCUUAAUUUAUAUUUUGGCCUGAGUUGUCACCGCAGCCAUCACACGUCUAAUGAUGUGCAGUCUCAGGCCUCGCAUGGAGAUGAGCCCAUCACAGGGUCCUGGUGUUAACCCUGAAUAUUAAAGCAUGAAGAGUGGACGAUGCCCUCCACUGCUUUAAUGGCCUCCUCCGAGACUGUGUGGACGGCGUCGGCCCAGCGGGUCCUGCUGCUGCUCGGGCUCAUCCUCACUUUAUAUAUAAACAAAUGUGCUGCGUGGUCGAGCGGCGUGUGCACGUUGCGCUCUGAAAGCGCGGGCUCAGCGAAACCGGAGCAAGUUAGAGACGUGGAAGCGGGUUCCCUCUGCAGAAGAUCACGACGGCAUCCUUCACUCCUCGCUGGCCUGUCCGCUCGUCUCCACGUCCCGCGGCGUCCAAGAGACUCUGAGCUCAGAGGGCGGUGAUGGUGGAAAAAAAAAAAACCACGCGCAGCCUUCCAGUCGCAGCACCUCCACGUGAAUGCGUCUCAGGUUCACGGCCUCGUUUGUGAGGGGUCGUAAACAUCCAUCAUCCCAACGUCGCCCGUUGCUGAGGAAACGCGAGCGAUGCUCUGACGGUGUCACGCUCCCUCCACAGAAGCCCGUCUGCUCCUCUCGACCCCGCGACCGCCGAACGCGCAGCAACAGUCAGAGACGCGUCAAACCCGUGGACCAAGCGUCACCACGCUGUAAUAACGGAGGCUAAAUAAUACGACGGACGAACAUUAGAACAAAUCGUCUCCACGGGAAUCGUCUGGAAAAGCGCGUUAACGGAGGGUGAGAGCUGUCCUUUCACUCGUCUCCUCCCUUCGCUGCGAUGCUCCUUCGCAGCCUGUAAUUAACUCAGCGUAUCUUUGCCGUGAUGUGGAAAUGAAACGCAAUUUAGCCUGGAAGGCGUGUGUGUGUGUGUGUGUGUGUGUGUGUGUGUGUGUGUGUGUGUGUGUGUGUGUGUGUGUGUGUGUGAUGGUAAAACAAACGAUAGCAAGAGGUUAAUAGGAAGAGAAUUAAAAGUGAGAUUAGACACUGAUUAGCUGGUGUAGAGCAGCUAGAAGCAGACAAACAGAGGAAUGUGGAGGUUGUGGAGCGUGUCCGCGUCUGAACGUGCCGAUAUUCAGACGUCUGCUCUUGUUGUUCGCCCUGCGCUUUGCACGGACUGAGCUCCUCAUUUUCCUCCCGGACUCAGCCGCGCUUCGCCCCUGUGCUUCCUCCCUGACAGGACGUGGCGAGAGUCAGAGCCCUCUUCAUUUUGUGCCGGCGCCUAAUAGGCAGCGCUCGGUCCUGCUCAUGUCCGCCGGCGAGGAGGCCCGAUGAGUCCCACCGCGCACGGGCCGAGCGGCGGCGGCGGCGCCGGUGGAACGGACCUCUGAUGGAGGAGCUGACGCUAAUGCGCAAAACGCAGCAAAUCAAAGAGAUGAGGAGGAGAAGGAGGCUUCAGUCUGGCAGGAGACAGAGCAGACUUCAUUCACAGGUACAAACCUGCGGCCACUGGGGUUUGACACUAAGUCACUCUUUACCAGCUUCUGUGAAGUCUGACUUAUUCUCACUGUAUGUAGGAAUUAUUUGAAACCAGUGACUCCGAACCAAAACAGGAAGUUCCUGCUGUCAGUCACUCGUUCACACUGAAUCUGUCUGAUGAGGUUCGGUCCGACCCGGUUCUCCCUGUGAUCAGCUGUUCGACUCCGGGUCCACCCUCCUGUGCUCGGCUCCGGGUUCAAACAGCCGCUGGCCGUGUGACGUUCACUGACUCAGACACGACCUUCUCAUCAGGAACUCAAAGCGUGGGCUUCCUUUAAGUCUAUCGGAGGCGCUGUCGUUAGUUUCAUCCUCGUGUCGAACAAACACAACAGCAUCAAACCUCUUCAUUUGCUUGUUUUCAGCAGGCAGACUUGUUUCUAUCAGGCGCGUCUGAACACAAUCAGCCCCGGAGCAGGUCUCGCUGUAGGCUUUUACUCAUGCAACCCUCUUGUUUGCUUUGCUGAUAUUUGUUGAUGGGUUUUCUCUUUUGUAUUACCAGAACAAAUUUAAUUAGAGCUCCAGGAAUACAAAUCAGCGCUCACCCACCAAAUGCUAUUUGGUCCCCUAAUAAAGGACCCGGAGAAAGGAAGGGAGGAAUUACAAAUGUGUUUUCGAGAGUCUGGGAUAGAAUUGCUUCAGGAUUGAAGUUAUUUAACAAAUGAAUGCAAUUUUACAAAAGCAGCCCUAAAGGCUGCAGAGCGCGGACCUGCCGGAGAAUAAGAGGCCGGGACGUGUGUCCGAACACAAGGGUGGAGGUGGAACGUCUGAGGAGCUCCUGCCUGUUCCGUCUCCUGACAGAUUAACUAAUAGCCGGCUUUGUGUCUCAGGAUUAAUUGGCCCGGUUUCCCUCCUGCUUCUCAUUAAUAAAUUAUUUUCAUGGCUGAGAGGUUAGCGGCGCUCCAGGGGCCACACGAGUGUACAGAUGGAGCGGUCCACUGGACUGACAGUGCCUGAGACGCCUCUCAGGCACUUAUCAGCUGCUGGAAGGAGAACCAGAACCAGAAGUUUGAAAACCUCAUCUGAUAGUCAGCAGAAUCUUUGAAGUGUCUCAGGCAGCAGAUGGAUUCCAGACCUGACCCACAGCGUCUCCUGAGUCUCUGGGCAGCUCUUUGAUAGCGGACAAACACAUUGAUUGAUUGGCUGCUGGAUUGAUCGCUGCAGCCUUGACCUUCUUCCUGGACGGACCGAAUGAAGCGAAGUGUGGAGCGAACGGAACCGCAGGCUCUCCCGGCUGCUUGAUCUGGAUCCAGAAGGCAGCCUGGUGCUGGUCGGUGAGAGCGGAUGACUGCAGGGCACAGGAUGAGCUUUUGGUCAUUUGUGUUCCAGGCCAAGCAUCUUAAAUGAGUCCUGUCCUCCGCUGAACCUGAUGCAUAAAGUGGAGAAUGGUGUCUUACUGAGACAUCUGCUUUGUUUGUUCUGGCCCGGACUCAUUAACAGUCCGGCGCCGGGUCCGGCUGGUUCCGGCUGUGCCUUCCGUGCAGCGCUCACCUCCCGCCUCUUGUGUUUGCUGCCGCGUCCUUUGGGGAAGAGACCGUUUCCAAUUCAUUAAGCCGGGCUUUGUUUGAGGGCCUGCAAAUUAAACAGCCGGAUGCUGCUUUUAGUUUCGCUGUGUGCUUCUCCUCUCACCGUUGUAAAGCACAAGGUGCUGCAGUGAGCAUGACUCUGAGUCUGGAUCUCUAAUAUAAAGCCGGGCGCUGUGUGCUCUCUGUCCAGGCAAUGAAACUCAGGCCGGCCGAGUGUUUCAAUUCAUUAGCUUCCCACCAGCAUGUGUAGACAGUAUACUAAUAAACAAUCUGGGAUUCUG